GUAAUUUUACAACAAUCGCUAUCACGGUUAUGAAGUUUUUUUUUAAUCUCUAAUUGUAGGACGCUAUUAAUGUCGACUGCCGGCUGAGCCGCCCGUCAAAAAGAGCUUCUUAGCUCUUCAGGUUUUACUCGGUGGGUAGUACCCUUCUGGCUGCGACUCACAGGCACUGGGGAGAACACACGUGGGCGGUCGAGGCGGCGGCGGCGGCCGCUUGUGGCACGUUAGGCCAGCCCGUGCCCACUCCGCUUCUGGCAACGUUUGGUAAAUCGUCGGUACCCGCCAACGGUUGCCGGAUAUAGUUGUUACCCGGCAAUAGUCGUUACCUAGCAAUAGCCGUUACCUGGCAACGGUUGCCAGGUAUAGUUGUUACCUAGCAAUAGUUGUUACCUAGCAAUAGUCGUUACCUGGCAACGGUUGUCGGCAAUUGUCGUUACCCGGCAACGGUUGCCGGCAAUUGUCGUUACCCGGCAACAGUCAUGACCCGGCAAUAGUCGUUACCCGGCAACGGUUGCCGGAUAUAAUCGUUGCCUGGCAACGGUUGUCGGCAAUUUGUCGUUGCCUGGCAAUAGCUGAUGGUGUCGUUCGUCCGUGUAUUUCCACACGCACCGGUACGUCCAGGGGGAGAUGGAGCGCUCCUGUAGGGGGCUGCCGGGGGGCAGCACCCCCCCGCGGCUGGGGCAGGGCGGCAGGGCGAAGUCCUCGCCGCCCUGCCGCCGCCGGCCCUGCAGAACGCUGGCGAGCCUCAGCAGCUCCUCGGGGACGUUCAUCCGCUUGAGGUGAAGGGCGUCGGGCGCGUCCUGGCGGCAGGGCUCCUCCGCGUGGCCCCGCGCCUCCGCCACCGUCAAGGCCAGCGGCAGUAGCAGCAGCAGCGACAGCGGCAGGAGUCUCGUCGUGGACGCACGCUGGGGCAGAUGAAUGUUUCGGUUACGCAAGGACAAAGACCAGCCCCCCGACUCCCUCCGUGUAGCCGUGAUAGCAACUGCUUCAACUUGACACUCAGCUUGGCCAAGCCACAGAACAACCGCGUGAGGAGCAGGAUCGGAGUCGCAUCGCCGCCGAGACGUCUCCCCAGUAUCGGUGCAUGGGGCCAUUGCGCCGAUACGCGUCGCACGGCCUGUUCUGGAUGACCACAGUCAGGAACCCGGCUCACAGCGAGCGAACGCCCCAACUAUAGCGGUCGCCGUGACGUGAGGCGCGCGGACGAUUGAAGCACCGCGCAAGGGACAGGGGGAGGCGGUGGCGACUCCCCACACCACCCCCCGGGGUGGCGAGCACGCAAACUGCCGUGAACAAAAAAUUCCCGAAGGAAGCUUACACAGCGGUCGCCUCGCCUCGCACACGUGGUUGGGACCUUGCGAAAUGAGCUUCCGUCUCACGUGGAGUCUCUCCCCCGCCCCACCGCCGUCCCGUGUCCCCAAAUACAUGGAGUUUGCAUGUC